rnacentral:lncRNA from 1 species
GUGUCAAGCUUGUGGUAACCUAACAAAUACCGAAGGAUGCGUAGUGGGAUACCAUGAACCUGAAUCAAAGACAUCAGCUCGCAUUUAAAAAGUUGGUACUGUCCUGAACUGCUGAAAGUGUGGCUUUAAAGUGUUUGUAUAAUGGAGAAUUCAAGGGUUGUGUGUCCAGUGGAGCUACAAUUAGACCAGAUUAUUCAAUAUUUAGAGAAGAGUGAUAUAUAUGGAAUAUGUUUCAACAACAUCAAAAAUUGUAUGACAUAAUAUUCUUAUUAAUUUAAU